rnacentral:rRNA from 1 species
GACGAACGCUGGCGGCGUGCUUAACACAUGCAAGUCGAACGGAAAGGCCCUGCUUUUGUGGGGUGCUCGAGUGGCGAACGGGUGAGUAACACGUGAGUAACCUGCCCUUGACUUUGGGAUAACUUCAGGAAACUGGGGCUAAUACCGGAUAGGAGCUCCUGCUGCAUGGUGGGGGUUGGAAAGUUUCGGCGGUUGGGGAUGGACUCGCGGCUUAUCAGCUUGUUGGUGGGGUAGUGGCUUACCAAGGCUUUGACGGGUAGCCGGCCUGAGAGGGUGACCGGCCACAUUGGGACUGAGAUACGGCCCAGACUCCUACGGGAGGCAGCAGUGGGGAAUAUGGCACAAUGGGCGGAAGCCUGAUGCAGCAACGCCGCGUGCGGGAUGACGGCCUUCGGGUUGUAAACCGCUUUCGCCUGUGACGAAGCGUGAGUGACGGUAAUGGGUAAAGAAGCACCGGCUAACUACGU